rnacentral:rRNA from 1 species
UGGGCAACCUGCCCUCAGCUCUGGGAUAACUCCAAGAAAUUGGGGCUAAUACCGGAUAUGACUGCUGACCGCAUGGUCUGGUGGUGGAAAGAUUUUAUCGGCUGGGGAUGGGCCCGCGGCCUAUCAGCUUGUUGGUGGGGUAGUGGCCUACCAAGGCGACGACGGGUAGCCGGCCUGAGAGGGUGACCGGCCACACUGGGACUGAGAUACGGUCCAGGCUCCGUACGGGA